rnacentral:rRNA from 1 species
UCAACUUUAUUAGAAGAGGCGCAUUUAUUAGAUAAAAAGCCAAUCCCGCUUGCUAGCGGGGGAGAAUUGGAGAUUUAUAAUAACUUAGCAAAUCGCAAAGUGAAAA